rnacentral:rRNA from 1 species
CCUACGGGUGGCAGCAGUGGGGAAUAUUGGUCGAUGGACGAGAGUCUGAACCAGCCAAGUAGCGUGAAGGAUGACUGCCCUAUGGGUUGUAAACUUCUUUUAUAUGGGAAUAAAACGUUCCACGUGUGGGCUUUUGUAUGUACCAUAUGAAUAAGGAUCGGCUAACUCCGUGCCAGCAGCGGCGGUAAGACGGAGGAUCCGAGCGUUAUCCGGAUUUAUUGGGUUUAAAGGGAGCGUAGGUGGAUGGUUAAGUCAGUUGUGAAAGUUUGCGGCUCAACCGUAAAAUUGCAGUUGAAACUGGCAGUCUUGAGUACAGUAGAGGUGGGCGGAAUUCGUGGUGUAGCGGUGAAAUGCUUAGAUAUCACGAAGAACUCCGAUUGCGAAGGCAGCUCACUGGACUGCAACUGACACUGAGGCUCGAAAGUGUGGGUAUCAAACAGGAUUAGAUACCCCAGUAGUC